rnacentral:lncRNA from 1 species
AUCACCUCAUUCCCAUGUUCUCUCCCUUAUCCAUCACACCCAUUCGUCCCAUGGCCAUCCUCCAUAAUACCCAUGUGCAUACACCUAUCAAACCAUACCCAUAAACCCCCUUCUCUCUCCAUAAGUUUGCAUCCCCCAAUGCCUUAGUCUCCACAGUCAAUCUAUCUUAUGUCAUAGCAUUCACUGUCGGCAGCUUGCACCUCCAUCAUGCCAUCUCUCCACUGUUCUUACCCACUGGACUUCACCACCUUCCAUCACAAUCACUAUACUCACCACGCAUGUAUAGCCACCCAUCACACCCAACAAACCCGUCCUCCUAGUCCCAUGCACAUGGACACUUCCCUCACCACUUUCUCUUACCCGUUCUGCCAUGCAUUCCCACUCAUUUGUUUUCCAUUCUCUAUGAACUUGAAUCCCCAUGAAAACACCCUGUCACUCAUCCUCAUCAUUCGUUUUCAUCACUCUUACUUCUUAU